UACGAGGGCUUCAAGCGUUGUCCGGAUUUAUUGGGCGUAAAGGGCGCGUAGGAGGUUUCAUGCGUCUCUUGUUAAAUUCCGGGGCCUAACUCCGGAGCCGCAAGGGAUACGAUGAGACUAGAGGACGUUAGAGGCAAGUGGAACGCACGGUGUAGGGGUGAAAUCCGUUGAUAUCGUGCGGAACACCAAAGGCGAAGGCAUCUUGCUGGGACGUUCCUGACUCUGAGGCGCGAAAGCGUGGGUAGCGAAUGGG
rnacentral:misc_RNA from 1 species